AUACGGAGGGGACUAGCGUUGUUCGGAAUUACUGGGCGUAAAGAGGUCGUAGGCGGACUGAUAAGUAAGAGGUGAAAUCCCAGGGCUCAACCCUGGAACUGCCUUUUAAACUGUCAGUCUAGAGACCGGAAGAGGUUAGGGGAAUACCUAGUGUAGAGGUGAAAUUCGUAGAUAUUAGGUGGAACACCAGUGGCGAAGGCGCCUAACUGGUCCGGUACUGACGCUGAGGAACGAAAGCGUGGGGAGCAAACAGGAUUAGAAACCCCAGUAGUCC
rnacentral:rRNA from 1 species